GAUGAACGCUGGCGGCGUGCCUAAUACAUGCAAGUCGAGCGAACAGACGAGGAGCUUGCUCCUCUGACGUUAGCGGCGGACGGGUGAGUAACACGUGGAUAACCUACCUAUAAGACUGGGAUAACUUCGGGAAACCGGAGCUAAUGCCGGAUAAUAUAUUGAACCGCAUGGUUCAAUAGUGAAAGACGGUUUUGCUGUCACUUAUAGAUGGAUCCGCGCCGCAUUAGCUAGUUGGUAAGGUAACAGCUUACCAAGGCAACGAUGCGUAGCCGACCUGAGAGGGUGAUCGGCCACACUGGAACUGAGACACGGUCCAGACUCCUACGGGAGGCAGCAGUAGGGAAUCUUCCGCAAUGGGCGAAAGCCUGACGGAGCAACGCCGCGUGAGUGAUGAAGGUCUUCGGAUCGUAAAACUCUGUUAUUGGGGAAGAACAAAUGUGUAAGUAACUAUGCACGUCUUGACGGUACCUAAUCAGAAAGCCACGGCUAACUACGUG
rnacentral:rRNA from 1 species